UGUUGGAGUUUUUCCUUGCCCCUAUUGCUCAUUGGUGCUCUUUGUUGUUAAGCGCUCUGAGACAUGCCUUUUGUAAAAUCCGCUAAACAAAUAAAAUUUAAUUGAAUUAAAAAAUGUUAACACUUAAAAGAACUUGUGUUCGUGGCUGGCUCAACCAAAAUGUAUGAUAAACGCCACACUCUAUCUUCUGCUUCACCUCAUCAGCAUCCAUCCAUCUAUCGUGCUGGUGGAAAUGCAUCACCUGACCGCUCAUUUACCCCGAAAGGCAUGGCUCAAGCCCGAGUCAGACCCGGGCCCAGUUCAUUUGCUGAAGGAUGGGGAUGUCAUGGCCCCUGGACACCGGUAUCCAUAAAGCAUCCCCUGCAGAUAGAUGGGAAGUCAUGUGGCGUUCAUGUUGUUAUGUAUGCCCAGGCCAUAUUGACAGGGGAUGCUCUUCAGCAGAGCCGUGUUUUGGAUUUUGGACCCAUUAUGCAAUUAAGACAACAGAUGUGCAAGGAUCUCUUUAAUGCAACAGACAGAACACAGACAUGCAGUAACUGCCUGAACCCAGUGAGCACUGCAAACAAGGUAAAGUAUACCAUGUGAUAAUUUGUUAAAAUGUUAUUCCUAAAUCCAUAUCUGUUUCAAAAGGCAUAUGAAACAUAUAUGGACUUAAAUGUAGAGUUUUCGGAAUGGAGUGUGGUCAAAAUAUUCCGUUUAUCAAAUCCACACCCUAGUGUGUAUCAGGUAUUACAGUGUUAAAGAACGGUAAACAAAAUGGUAUGGUGUUAGUAGGAAGGUGCUGAUAAAAAUUCUUAUGGGGCUCUUCUGCUUCACUUCCUUUUUUUUUCUUCUUUUGU